rnacentral:rRNA from 1 species
CCUACGGGGGGCUGCAGUGGGGAAUAUUGGGCAAUGGGCGCAAGCCUGACCCAGCAACGCCGCGUGAAGGAAGAAGGCUUUCGGGUUGUAAACUUCUUUUCUGAGGGACGAAGAAAGUGACGGUACCUCAGGAAUAAGCCACGGCUAACUACGUGCCAGCAGCCGCGGUAAUACGUAGGUGGCAAGCGUUAUCCGGAUUUAUUGGGUGUAAAGGGCGUGUAGGCGGGAAAGCAAGUCAGAUGUGAAAACUCAGGGCUCAACCCUGAGCCUGCAUUUGGAACUGCGUGUCUUGAGUGAUGGAGAGGCAGGCGGAAUUCCCAGUGUAGCGGUGAAAUGCGUAGAUAUUGGGAGGAACACCAGUGGCGAAGGCGGCCUGCUGGACAUUAACUGACGCUGAGGCGCGAAAGCGUGGGGAGCAAACAGGAUUAGAUACCCCUGUAGUC